CAGGAUUGUAUAGUUUCGCUUACAACACCAAGGUUCCCUUCACUAUGUCUUAUACAUUAUAUACGCCUAGUAAUUAUAUACAUUACUCCUCAUAGCAAUUUGAACACGAUUCCCUAAUUAAAGAUGAUUUGUAUAGCAAUAUUUCUAGUCUCUCUUGCUUGUCUCUGGCUAUGGGGAUUCACCAACAAGAACAAGAAAUUACCUCCUGGUCCAAGAGGGUUACCAAUUUUGGGUAGCCUUCAUAAGUUGGGAGAUAAUCCUCAUCUUGAUCUUCACAAACUAUCACAAAAACAUGGACCAAUCAUGUACCUGCGCCUAGGUUUGGUGCCAACCAUUGUUGUCUCUUCUCCACAAGCUGCUGAACUCUUUCUUAAAAUCCAUGACCUUGUUUUUGCAAGUAGACCACCCAAUGAAGCUGCAAAGUACAUUUCAUGGGAGCAGAGGAACAUGAGUUUUGGUGAAUAUGGUCCUUAUUGGCGCAACAUGCGAAAGAUGUGCACCUUGGAACUACUAAGCCAAACAAAGAUCAACUCAUUCAGACGCAUGAGGCAAGAGGAGGUUGAAUCAUUGAUCCACGUUCUUAGAGAAGCAGCAAAUGAUGGAGUUGCUGUGGAUGUCAGUGCUAAGGUUUCAACAGCAAGUGCUGACAUGAGUUGUAGAAUGGUUUUUGGGAAGAAAUAUGAUGACAAAGACUUGGAUGAGAAGGGUUUCAAGAGUGUUAUACAAGAAGGGAUGCAAUUAGCGGCAACUCCAAACAUAGGUGAUUAUAUUCCUUAUAUUGGUAAACUUGAUCUUCAAGGCUUAACUAGGCGCAUGAAGGCUGUGGGGAAAAAAUUUGAUGAGUUUUUUGAGAAAGUUAUUGAUGACCACUUGCAAUCAUCUGAGAACAGAGAAGAUAAAGUUAAGGACUUUGUGGAUGUCAUGUUGGGCUUUCUAGGCACUGAGGAAUCUGAAUACCGUCUUGAACGCCCUAAUAUCAAAGCCAUAUUGCUGGAUAUGCUGGCAGGUUCAGUGGACACAUCAGCAACGGCAAUAGAGUGGGCACUUUCAGAGCUAAUAAAGCAUCCAAGAGUGAUGAAGAAACUUCAAAUGGAGUUAGAAUCUGUGGUUGGUAUGAAGAGAAUGGUGGAGGAGUCAGACUUAGACAAGUUGGAAUAUUUGGACAUGGUCAUCAAGGAAACCAUGAGGAUCCAUCCAGUGGCACCGUUACUAAUACCACACCAAUCUAUGGAAGAUUGCAUGGUUGGAGAUUUCUUCAUACCCAAGAAAUCAAGAGUCAUAAUAAAUGCAUGGGCAAUCAUGAGGGACCCAAGUGCUUGGAGUGAGCCAGAGAAGUUCUGGCCGGAGAGAUUUGAGGGAAGGGAGAUUGACAUCAAAGGUAGAGAUUUCCAUUUUAUACCAUUUGGGUCUGGGAGAAGAGGAUGCCCUGGAUUGCAGUUAGGUCUAACAGUGGUUCGGUUGGUGGUGGCACAACUUGUGCAUUGCUUUGAUUGGAAGUUACCAAAUAAGAUGUUGGCAUCUGAAUUGGACAUGACUGAGGAGUUUGGUCUCACUAUGCCAAGGGCCAAUCAUUUAUUUGCGAUACCUACUUAUAGGCUUCAGAAUGAAAGUGGUUAAGCAGUUGACAGUUGCCACAAUUGUGGGAUGGGGAGGACAUUACAAUGUGUUGUUUUCCUUCUGUUGUUGCCAACAUUUCUCUCACUUUGCAGGUUUAGUUUAGUUUCUGUUGUGUCAUGCUCGACAAUUAAGGUUUAGUUCAAUAAGAAUUAAUAAAUUUGAUUGUAUAUAACCUGAGGAAUGGAACAAGAUACUAAUGAGUGAUAUUUGGGAAUUUUCUGUGGAGAAGAGUAAGAUUAUUCCAGCAUUGCUGAUAAGUUACUUCCAUCUUCCUCCACAUUUAAAGCGUUGUUUUGUUUAUUGUGCUUUAUAUCCCAAGGAUUAUAAAUUUAAAAAGGACGAACUAAUCCUUUUGUGGAUGGCAGAAGAUCUUUUACCACCACCAAAGAGAGGAGAGAGUUUAGAAGAAGUUGGUUGCGAGUGUUUUGAUGAACUAACUUCCAGAUUAUUUUUCACAAAGCUUCAAAUUGCUCAUGAUUAUUUUGUGAUGCACGAUCUCUUGCAUGAUUUAGUUUCAAAUUGGGUUGGGCAUUCCUCUUACCAAAACAUGACACGUGUGUCUCUGGUGUGUUGCAAGAAUUGCUGCAUGCUGCCUUCACUUGGACAGCUGUCAUCUCUUAAGUCCCUGCUAAUUGAAGGUUUCGAUCAGCUGAGGAGUAUUGGCAAUGAGUUUUACAAGAAUGAAGAAGAUCAUCAUUCUUCGCAUAUUCCACCGUUUCCUUCACUGCAGAGUUUGGAAUUUUUUGAUAUGGCAUGUUGGGAGGAGUGGAACUUACCUGACUCAGAAGCUUUUCCUCAGCUUAAGAUCCUUCGAAUAUCAGAGUGUCCUAUGUUGAAGGAAGAGAUACUUCAUGAGGUAUUCUUGAGAAUCAUUUCUUCUUUGUCGGAUGUUUCCAAAGUUCGCGAAUUACGUAUAGACGACUAUUUUAUAGGAGAAGGCAUUGGGGACAUGUUUCUUGGUGGGGAUACUUUAACAAUAAGGGGAUGUGAAUCUGUGAAGGAGUCUGCAUUUAAGGCAAUGAUCAGCACCAACCAUCUAAGUUGCCUCCAAGAAAUACACAUCGCAGGGUAUUCCUCUUAUGUAUUCUUACCGAGCAAUUGUUUUCCCAAAUCUUUGCAAAAGCUGCAAAUCUGGAGGUGUAGAAAACUAGAAUUCCCCGAGCAACAGCAGCAGAAGUAUGAUUUGGAGAUACUGCAGCAUUUUGGAGGCAUUACCACAUGACAUGAAUAGUCUACUCCCAAGUUUACAGUCUCUCGACAUAUAUGGUUGCUCAGACACUUGGAGGUUGCCAGAGGGUGGUUUGCCGCCUAACUUGAAAUCACUUGCUGUGGGAAUUUGCGAGCAACAAAUGAGGGAUCUAUCAUGGAUGGGCAACUUGGACGCCCUCACUCAUCUUAAAAUUUCAGGUUAUAAGUGCGAGAACAUAAAGUCAUACCCAGAGGUGGGUUCGUUGCCUCACCUUCCCUCCCUUGCCACUCUUGAGAUAUGGUUGUUCAAUAAUCUGGAGACAUUGGAGUGCAACGAGCUUCUCCACCUCACCUCCCUCCAACAACUACACAUUUAUUGCUGUCCAAAUCUGGAGAAUAUGGAAGGAGAAAAGUUGCCUCCCUCUCUCUUGCUACUUCAAAUUUAUAGCUGUGAUUUGCUGGGAGAACACUGCAGGAACAAGCAUCAACUAAUCUGGCCCAAAAUUUCCCACAUCCCCACCAUUCAAGUCGAACAGUUUCUCAAUAGAGAUUUCUGAGUAGUGAUAUAUCAGUGCCCAGCAUGCUAUCUGAAUUUUGGUAACAUAUUGUAACAUACCUAUCCUUAUCAUCAGCAAGAACUAAAAGAGUUCAGUGGAUACAUCAGCAGCGGCAAUAGAGUGGGCACUUUCAGAGCUAAUAAAGCAUCCAAGAGUGAUGAAGAAACUUCAAAUGGAGUUUGAAUCUGUGGUUGGUAUGAAGAGAAUGGUGGAGGAGUCAGACUUGGACAAGUUGGAGUAUUCGGACAUGGUCAUCAAGAAAUUCAUAAGGACCCAUCCAGUUGCACCAUUAAUAUUACCACACCAAUCUAUGAAAGAUUGCAUGGUUGGAGAUUUCUUCGUACCAAAGAAAUCCAGAGUUGUAAUAAAUACAGGGGCAAUUAUGAGGGACCCAAUUGCUUGGAGUGAGCCAGAGAAGCUCUCACCGGCAAGAUUUGAGGGAAGAGACAUUGAUGUUAGAGGGAGAGAUUUCCAACUAAUACCAUUUGGAUUUGGCAGAAGAGGAUGUCCCGGAUCCCAGUUAGGUCUAACAGUAGUUUAGUGGUGGCAACAGCUUGUGCAUUGCUUUGAUGGAAGUUACCAAAUAACUUGUUGCCAAGUGAAUUGGACAUGACUGAGGUGUUUAGCCUCUCGAUGUGUAGAGCUAAUCAUCUAUUUGCUAUCCCAACUUACAGGUUUCAUAAUGAAAGUGAUUAAGCAAAAAAAUAUAAUGUAAUCAUGUUUUUAUGUUUUAUUUGUUCCAUUUGAAUAAGAUUCAUUGAUCAAAUGCAACAAAAUCAAGAGAGUAAAAUGAGAGAAAAAAUAAUCCCAGUGAGAAAUUAAUUAUCAUUUAC